CGGAUAGUGAAGUAAUGGGCCAAAUCUGGAAGGCCCGAAACAAACCCACCUUAGCCAACUUAAAUCAAAAAAAGAAAAAAGAAUUGUUGCUUUCUCAAUAGCUUUUCUCUCUCUUCAAUUUUUAGCCGCUCCAAAACUCAGCAAACCCUAGAAACUUCUCUCUUGGAGAAGACGACCGGAGGCGGCGGCUCACGGCGGAGCCUCCGCUCUUCUCCGUCGCUUUACUCUCUCCCUCUCCCGUGACCGAUCGAGCUCCCUACACAAGAUAAACCGAACCAGCCUCCUAUGCAACCGUAAUAAAAUCAGAGCGAAAACGAUGAAGAUGUGCUUACCUACGGAUUCGCUGCUCUACCGGAAUCGAUGGACGAGAAGUACCAAAUUUUAAAUCGGAGGCUUCGAAUCCGGUAACGAGAGGAUUCGCGCUUGCGUCGUCCGCUCCUCUUCUUUACCCUUGAUUAUAGCUCUGAGAUGACAUGAUGGAAUGGAAAAGUGGCUGCUCCAAGCUUCAAGACAGCAUGUUUUUGCCCCUAGGUCCAAAGGAGUGUUUAUCCCGUCCAUGAUUUUGGUCUUGGUCAUUUAGAAUUAGGAAGACAAAUUUUACUGUAAUUACAUUGGUUUAUUUUUAAGACAAAUGUGUGCUUGGAUUAUGUAACUUAUUGAAUUAAAAGUCUAAUAACCAUUAAUAAUUAUGUAUUCAA